rnacentral:lncRNA from 1 species
GACAUUGCACGCUACUCUUCAUUGAAACCGUGCCUUCCUCUCUUCUCGCGACGCCAGCCACAUACUCGCCACCGCCCGUGAGUAGAGGAACGGCCGCCGCCUCCAUCUUCGCAAUUGUCGUCGAUUCAAUCUCGGGGAAAGGCGCUCUGGCAUUGAUGAUUGACCGUGGAGCACGUCUGAGACUCACCCACGCCUAGAACAGUCUUGCGGCGUCGGAAUUUCUCGCCGGAGGUCGUAUUCCGCCGUGGAAUCACGCCGCGCCGUGGGCAAGGUGUCUCCGCGGGUGAAUUUUCGGUGAGUAACCCUCUAACGAAUUCGCGCUUACCUCCGCAUCAUUUACCACGUAACGGUGCUAAGUUUUGGUUGUCGGCUCGACCACGGGCAUGCGUCACCUAUGGCGCCGCCGCGGGAACUGGCCACCGCCGUCGCGUUUCGUCGCCAGUAGGGGCGGACAAUCUCGACUGUCGAUCUAUCCAGGGACAGUUAGUAUUAGAGCAACCUUUACCCGUUCGUCCGAUUCAAUCUGAUUCACUGGUUUAGAAUCUAACGGAUCGGAUUAGAGUUCAUAUAACUCAACGCGUGGUCAGAUCUGGGUCGUCGAUCUUAAUCGUACGACUCUAAAUCAAUGAAGGGUAAGAUUUAACAGCAACCAUUUUAUACCGGUUCGAGCGGCGACUGAUCUAAUCUGGUGCGUCCGUUUCUGAUCGGACGACCGAUAUCACGCCAUACCCCUUUGUUGUGCACAUUUCGUAGAAAAGCCCUUCUAGUUUUAUGUAAUCAACCCGUGGUCCGUCCUGGUAGAUCAAUGAGUCUAAGAAGUUUUUAUAAAUUGGCCCUAGUACUCUACAGAAAUUGGCGCGCAAACCAGAGAACCGAGAAAUGGGAAAUUAAUAUUAGAAAUUGAUUUUUAAUACUAAAACAAUUCCAGAAACUUGUAUAAAUCAUAUUAAAUUCAUUUUAGCCGCAAAUUAAUUCAUUCCAGAGACAUUAAUUUUGUUUUAAUAUUGUUUAUCACCUAGUAACUUUGUUUAGCCAUGAAAUUGGAAUUAAAAUUAUUCACUUGAAUUACUCUAUUCCAAGUACAAAAUAACUUCAAAAAUUCAUAAUUUAAUAACCGUAGAUCCGAAUUUAGUGAUUCUUGUUUCUACAAUCUCGUUACGUAGCAUAGAAUAUUAUCAUGCAUUCUGUUCUACUGUUUGUUGUAAUGUUAAUUUAUGCUAUACUAUGUUUGUUUGUUGCGAGUAGACGAGCCAGCCAGAGAGGAUCCAGGGGUUCAACAGGUGGAGACUGCUAAGCAGGAGCUCGUUGAAGGAAAGUUGUGCCCUUGAUCACUUCUUUUUACCUAGUUGUCGGCAUUUCAACCCCGGGGGGUCCCUGGACCGACGAGUAAAUUGUCGCCGCGUGCCCCAGCCCAGAUGGGUCGGCGCGAGACGGAGCACGAAGGGGGAAAAAAGGAGACAGGCGUAAAGGGGAAACCCGCGGCCUUCAUGUUUGUCCUGCGCCCAGGUCGGGUGCACUUGAAGUAGGGGGGUUAUAAGCGUCCGCGUGGGAGGGAGCGAGAGGCCUGCACGCGCCGUCCCGUCCUCCCCGCGCGGCCAACUCCCUCGUACGAGUGCCCUGGGCCUUCCUUUUAUAGGCGUAAGGAGAGGGCCCAGGUGUACAAUAGGAGAUGUAGCAGUGUGCUAACGUGUCUAGCAGAGAGGAGCUAGUGCCCUAAGUACAUGCUGUCGUGGCAGCCGGAGAGGUUUUGGCGCCUUGUUCAUGUGAUGUCGUGGCCGUCGGAGGAGCGCUGGAGCCUUGCGGAAGGACAGCUAUCGGGGCUGUCGAGUCCUUGCUGACGUCUCCUUGCUUCCGUAAGGGGCUAAGAGCCACCGUCGUCAUGGAGCAUGUGGGGCGCCAUCAUUAUUUGUUUUACGGGGCGAGCCAGAUGGGACGCCGGUCUUGUUCCCCGUAGCCUGAGCCAGCUAGGGGUAGGAUAAUGAUGGCCCCUCCUAUGACGUGGUCGGUUCGAGCCCUGGGUCGGGCGAGGCGGAGGCUUCUCCGAGGUCGAGGUCGAGUCUGUCUUCCGAGGUCGAGGUCGAGUCCGAGCCCCGGGUCGGGCGAGGCGGAGACCAUCGUCUGAGACCAAAGCUGAGUCCGAGCCCUGGGGUCGGCUGAGGCGGAGUUCGUCGUCUUCCAGGGCCGAGGCCGAGUCCGAGCCCUGGGGUGUCCGAGGCUGGGCUCGGGCGAGGCGAGAUCGUGUCCCUUGAGUGGACCGAGCCUUGACUUAAUCGCACCCAUCAGGCCUUUGUAGCUUUGUGCUGAUGGGGGUUACCAGCUGAGAUUAGGAGUCUUGGGGCUACCCCUAAUUAUGGUCCCCAACAGUAGCUCCCGAGCCUCAAAGGGAGUGUUAAUACUCGCUUGGAGGCUUUUGUCGCACUUUUUUGCAAGGGGACCGGCCUUUCUCGGUUGCGUUUCGUUCCGGUGGGUGCGCGCGAGCGCACCCGCCGGGUGUAGCCCCCGAGGCCUCGGAGGAGUGGUUUGACUCCUCCGAGGUCUUAGUGCGUUUCGUGAUGCUUCGGUCGGUCUGGUUGUUCCCUCAUGCGAACUGCCCGUAGCCCGGGUGCACAAUCGAGUCCCAAGUUCUCGGGCUGGUAUGUUGACGUUGUCAACGGUUUGGCCAGAGCCGGGUUUGCGAGAGCAGCCCCCGAGCCUCCGCACAGAGCGAGAGGACGGUCAAGGACAGACUCGACUUUUUUACAUACGCCCCUGCGUCGCCUUUCCGCAAGGAGGAGGGGGGAAAGCGCCAUGUUGCCCUCGGAGGGCACCGAACAUGGAGUCUACAGUGAGUUGCUAACGGGUAAUCCGAGUGGACGCCCGUGCCCCAUUCGUUAGGGGUCGGCUAGUGGCCCGAAGGCGCGCUCCAACAGUACCUGCGGGUGAUUUGCCGGACCCGGUCCCCUUUUGACGGGGUCCGAGGGCUCGAUGCCUCCCUCCGAUGGGAUUCCAUUACAAGAUCGCUCCUGUUGGUCUCGGAAAUGUCCUAGGGUACCUCGGGAGCGCAGCCCGAGCCUUGGUUAUGUAUCGAACGUACCUAGGGUCAUCCCUCGCUCUGCGUCUGAGGCGGCUGUCGAACCCUUCGGGGGCCAGCCUGCGAACCUCUGAUAAGUAGUGGGCGCGGAGCCCGAGUGGCCUGAGGCGACCGUUGAACCCUUCCGAGGGGCCAUCCUUCGAACCUCUGACCAGUAGUGGGCGCGGAGCCUAAGUGGCCUGAGGCGGCCGUUGAACCCUUCUGAGGGGCCGGCCUUCGAACCUCUGACCAGUAGUGGGCGCGGAGCCCAAGUGCUCUGAGGCGGCCGUUGAACCCUUCCGAGGGGCCGGCCUUCGAACAUCUGAUCAGUAGGGGGUCUCGGGGCCCACUUCCUUCGUGGAGAAGGAUCCCUUUCGGAAUAUCCCCUUUCCGGGUCCCUGUUGUAAGAGAGAGAAAGAGGAAGAGGAAAAGGAUACGAAAUCGAAUGACGUGGCACACCUUUUUUUGACACGGUCAUUAUGGCGAAGGUGAAGCGUCGCCUGCUUCUCCUGCCAAAGGUGCCGCCUGUCCUGCCGCAGAGUUAAUGCGACGGGACAAGUGGUUCGCGGGGCAGCCGUUGCGCGUGCGCGAGCCGUUCGAGGAACGGAACACGGGCGCGUCGUCUUCACGCCGUGGGAGAGGGUUCUCUCGCUGUCCCAGUAGGGGACGUGAGCUUGCUGACGACUUGGCCGCUGCUUCCGCUCGCCUGCCACUGCCAUUACUGCCUUCCCAUUUCUGGCCGUAUCGACCGUCGCGCCUUCUCCCGCGGCUGGCUAACCCAUGACCGAUGUGCUCGGUUGGCACUGUUGGGCUAUGCGCAGGGUUGCCCCGAGUCGCGGCACUGGUUCCACAGUCGAGGAGGCGCGACACUGGCGCAAGUGGCGGUGCAGUUUCUUGCACUUAGUAACCGACGCGCCAGUUACAUGACGUGUGGGCCUGGGCCUCAAUGCUGGACGCGUUGAAGUCGAAAGGGUGCACCCCCUCGGUGCGGUUGCAUGCCGCCUGCAUGGCGGUCCGCCCUUUCACCCGAUGGUCUGGGCGAAAGUGGAGGAAUGCUCGUAACCGCUGGGCAGUUGCGCGCAUCGCGCGCGGCGGUUUUGGCUCCUUCUGUCCUGGGCCAUCUUGCACGAUGCGUGGGACCCAGCCCCCGUGUCGUAGGGGGAGGACCUUGGAGUGUGUUGGAGAAGACUCAGCCCGCGACGGCUGAGGACGCAAGUGGGGAGAGUUGCCUUUAAAAGGAGGAUGACCCCCUUGAAAGUCAACCAUGUCUUCACGCUCCCCUCAUGCAUCGCGUCUUUCCACCUUCCGAGCCCCCGGAUGGGGGCGCCCGCAGUUCUUCCGCCUUGUCGUCGUUGGAGGAACACAACUUCGCGGAAGUUGGUACCUUUCAGCCAUCGUUCGGCUUCAAGGAUUUUCAUCAGGCAGUCCGGCUGCAUCCCCUCGCCGGUGGUCACCCAAGAUGGUGACCACCAGUUCGAUGGUGGGGAGAAGCGAGCCGGGCUGCGAUCUUGGUCCCGCCCUCAGCUUCAAGGAUCUCCAUCAUCUUGGCUGGCUGGGGCGGAGGCCGGGCUGAGCCGGAGCUCUACCUCCCGCACGGGUUCGUGGGUCACCUUCUCCCUCAGCAUUCAAGGGAGAGGGCGCUCACCGUCCUAGCGGGAGGGUCGGACUUCGACAACGCGGGGCUGGUCGGCGACGAGCGUUGUCAGCUUUAGCGCGUUGGGCUCGCUGGCUCAGCUGGCUCUGGCUCGGCUCCCGGUGCCCCCUUCUGUCGCGAGAGCUGUUGUCGCAACGUGCGCACCGGAGGACCGCCCAAGACGUCGCGCGCUGCUAGGGCGGCGUUCGUGUUCUGGGCUGUCCUGCCUUUGCCCCGGUACGGCGCUUCUGCGCUCGUCCAGGAGGAUCCGAGUGGGGAUCUGUCGGUGGGCAGAUGGCUUCCGUCGUCGGCGCUGAGGUGGUGGCGGCUGAAGAAGUCCCCGUCGCCGACGGGAUCACCGCCACCAUCCGUUCUCCGGGCCUCCGGCUCUUUGGCUUUGAUAGCUUGUCCUCGCCCCUCGAGUGGAGACGUGGGCGAGGGCAUUGUUGCAGCGGUGUUCGCCUUGAGGCCAUCGCCGCUGCAGUUUGGCCACCUGGAGCGGAGGUUGUUGUCGCUGUUGCCGGAGCGGGCGGCGGUGAGCCACCUGGAGCCUUGUCGCCCCGCGGGCCCUCCAAUGUGGGGGGUUAUUCAUACCCGCGGGGGCGAAACCAGAGUUCCGUUUGUAAUGGCACCCUGAGUGCCAGUGUCUGUUCAUUGUUGCUGUCGGGGCCUGAACAUGUAUGUAUUUUUGCACGGAGCCGUGUUUUUUCCUCAUUUCGAGUACUAGGACUCGCCUGUUGGCUAACUGAACCGCUUAACCAAGUGUGAGUUGCCUUGUGCGAAGGUGACGAGUGAGGUAUCCGUAUCCCGGAGGCGUAAGAGUCCCUCGGCUCGGUCGGCCUUGCCGCCCGAGGCUCCUCUUGCUUAGUUAAGGGAACCCUCGGCCUCUCUUCGAUGAGCCGAAGCCGGAGGCAGCGGUGUUAGCAUGGACAGAGGCAGAGUUGGCUCGGAAAGAAGACUUCGUCGGCCAGAGCCUGGCCGGGCCGUCCACUGGCGGGACCGCGCCGGAGUCGAGUUGCCGAAGCCACGAGCCGGGCCGGUGUCCUCGGAGGACAGCUGGCUGAGGCUUCGGGGCGGCCGGCCGAGCCGUCUCCUCGGGCCGGAUUCCUGGAGGAGACCCUGGCGGCGAUGGCCCGGGCGCGGUCCUGACGUCGUCCUUCGGAGUGGAGAUCCUCCGACCGCGUUGCCGUCCGAGGCUCGGUCGGACUUCGCCGAAGGUGGAGUUGACGCCGAGGGUGCUGCUGCUCCCCCUCCGUCGACGUCUGAGCCUGCAGGAUCGGUUUAUCUUGUAGUGUGCGUAUGUUUUCUGCGGCCGCCGAGGCCCAAACAUACUGUCUUCGUGUUGUAAAGCUGCGUUUCUUUUCCUCUUGUUUCGAGUAUCUGGACUUAUUUGUCGGUAACAGAAUUGUUUGUCCGAGCGAGAGUUACUUUUCACGGAAGGUGAUGAGUGAGGUAUCCGUAUCCCGGAGGCGUAGGAGCCCUCGGCUCGGUCGGCCUUGCCUCUUACGUGUACUCUUACUCGUCCGUAGGAUUCUGCUAUCGAUAUAGUCGAGAAGGCAUGAAAAAUCGUUUCGGCAGAAGAGUUUUCGAGCGUGAAGACUUGUUCAGUCCGCGGGAUCGCUUAUCCGAGCGUGAGUUACUUAUCGCAGAAGGUGAUGAGUGAGGUAUCCGUAUCCCGGAGGCAUAGGAGUCCCUCGGCUCGGUCAGCCUUGGCUGCUUACGUGUACUCCGUCGUUUUCAGGAUCCCACUUUCAAAGUAGUCGAAAAGCACGAAAGACGUUCUGGCAGAAAAGAUCUUUUCCGAGGAAAAUUUUGAUGCGGAGGGGGUUCCCCCCUUCUAGCCCCCGAGGGAGGGUCGGGCUUUGCCGAGGCAAGGCUGACCCUUCCUUGAUGGUUAGACUUUGUGUGUGGAUGAGGUGUACGAACGACUUGAAAGCAUCUUAAGGGUAGAAGCGACGUAGCUGUCGGAUGUUCCAAGCGUUGCUGUAGACCUCGCCUUGACUGUUGGCCAGCUUGUAUGUCCCGGGCUUCAGAACCUCGGCGAUGACGAAUGGCCCUUUCCAGGGAGGCGUGAGCUUGUGCCGCCCUCAGGCGUCUUGUCACAGCCGAAGCACCAAGUCGCCCACCUGGAGGUCUCGGGACCGAACCCCUCGGGCGUGGUAGCGUCGCAGGGACUGCUGAUACCGCGCCGAGUGUAGUAAGGCCAUGUCCCGAGCCUCCUCCAGCUGGUCUAGUGAGUCUUCUCGGUUUGUUCGAUUGCUUUGGUCGUCGUAGGCCCUCGCCCUCGGGGAACCGUAUUCUAAGUCUGUGGGCAAGAUGGCCUCGGCCCCAUAGACUAGAAAGAACGGUGUGAAGCCCGUGGCUCGGCUCGGCGUUGUCCUCAGACUCCAGACCACCGAGGGGAGCUCCUUCAUCCAUCGCUUGCCGAACUUGUUGAGGUCGUUGUAGAUCCUCGGCUUGAGUCCUUGCAGAAUCAUGUCGUUGGCACGCUCUACUUGCCCAUUCGUCAUGGGGUGAGUCACGGCGGCCCAGUCCACCCGGAUGUGGUGAUCCUCACAGAAGUCCAGGAAUUUUUUGCUGGUGAACUGGGUGCCGUUGUCGGUGAUGAUGGAGUUCGGGACCCCGAAGCGAUGGAUGAUGUUGGUGAAGAAUGCCACCGUCUGUUCGGACCUGAUGCUGUUUAGGGGCCGGACCUCGAUCCACUUGGAGAAUUUGUCGAUGGCGACCAGCAGGUGCGUGUAGCCCCCGGGUGCCUUCUGCAAGGGACCAACGAGGUCCAGACCCCACACAGCAAAUGGCCAGGUGAUGGGUAUCGUCUGUAGAGCCUGAGCGGGCAGGUGGGUCUGCCUCGCGUAGAAUUGGCACCCUUGGCAGUGCGGACAAUUCUAGUGGUGUCGGCCACCGCGGUCGGCCAGUAGAAACCUUGUCGGAAGGCGUUUCCAACAAGGGCCCGAGGCACUGCGUGGUGACCGCAAGCCCCCGAGUGUAUCUCUUGUAAAAGCUCCUAGCCUUCAGCGAUGGAUAUGCAUCGCUGGAGGAUGCCUGAGGGGCUGCGGUGGUAAAGCUCCUUCCCGUCUCCCAGCAAGACAAACGACUUGGCGCGCCGCACCAGUCGCCAAGCUUCGGCUCGGUCGAGGGGUAGCUCUCCUCGGUGGAGAUGUUGUAGGUAUGGGGUCUGCCAGUUUCGAUUAGGCGUGACCCCACUCCGCUCUUCCUCGAUGCGCAGUGCCUCACCCUCGGGGGCCGAGGGUGCCUCGGGCUAGGCCGAGGCCUUCUCGGGCUCGGGCGUGUCAUCGGUCUUGACUGAGGGUUGAUGUAGGUCUCGGGAGAAGACGUCCGGGGAACCGUUGUUCGCCCCGAGGCUAUCUUAGCCAGCUCGUCCGCAGUUUCGUUGUAUCGUCGGGCGACGUGGUUGAGCUCGAGCCCAUAGAACUUGUCUUCCAGGCGCCGAACCUCGUCGCAGUAGGCUUCCAUCUUUGGGUCGCGACAGUGGGAGUUCUUCAUGACUUGGACGAUGACAAGCUGCGAGUCACCGCGAGCGUCGAGGCGUCGGACCCCUAGCUCGAUGGCGAUGCGCAACCCGUUAACCAGAGCCUCGUACUCGGCCUCGUUGUUGGACACUGGGAAAUGGAGGCGCAACACGUAGUGGAGGUGUUUCCCGAGGGGUGAGAUGAAGAGCAGGCCCGCGCCCGCUCCUGUUUUCAUCAGCGACCCGUCGAAAAACAUGGUCCAGAGUUACGGUUGGAUCGGAGCCGCUGGAAGCUGGGUGUCGACCCAUUCAGCCACAAAGUCCGCCAAGACUUGGGACUUGAUGGCCUUCCGAGGGGCAAACGAGAUUUUCUCGCCCAUGAUUUCCACCGCCCACCUUGCAAUUCUACCCGGGGCCUCUCGGCACUGGAUGAUCUCCCCCAGGGGGAAGGAUGACACCACAGUCACCGGAUGAGACUCGAAGUAGUGUCGCAACUUCCGCCGCGUCAGGAUCACCGCGUACAGCAGCUUCUGAAUUUGUGGGUAGCGGAUCUUGGUCUCGGACAGUACCUCACUGAUGAAGUAGACCGGCCUCUGGACGGGCAAUGCAUGCCCUUCUUUUCGUCUCUCAACCACGAUCGCGGCGCUGACCACCUGAGUGGUAGCGGCGACGUAGAUCAAGAGGGCUUCUCCGGCAGCGGGGGGCACCAAGAUGGGCGCGUUCGUGAGGAGCGCCUUCAGGUUCCCGAGGGCUUCCUUGGCCUCGGGGGUCCAAGUGAAGCACUCGGCCUUUCUUAAGUGGCGGUACAGGGGUAGGCCUCUUUCGCCGAGGCGCGAGAUGAAGCGGCUCAGAGCCGCAAGGCAUCCCAUGACCCUCUGUACGCCUUUCAAGUCCUUGAUGGGCCCCAUGUUGGUGAUGGCCGCGAUUUUCUCCGGGUUGGCCUCAAUGCCCGCUCGGAGACGAUGAACCCCAAGAGCAUGCCUCGGGGUAGUCCGAAGACGCACUUCUCGGUAUUGAGUUUUACGCCUUUCGCCUUGAGACACCGGAAUGUCGUUUCAAGGUCAGAAAGGAGGUCGGAGGCUUUCCUCGUCUUGACUACGAUGUCAUCGACGUAAGCCUCGACCGUUCGACCGAUGUGUUGGCCGAACACGUGGUUCAUGCACCUUUGGUAUGGCGCACCCGCAUUCCUCAAACCAAACAGCAUAGUAACGUAGCAGUACAUGCCAAAAGGUGUGAUGAAAGAAGUCGCGAGCUGGUCGGACUCAUUCAUCCAGAUUUGGUGAUACCCUGAGUAGGCAUCGAGGAAAGACAGGGUUUCGCACCCAGCAGUGGAAUACACGAUUUGAUCGAUGCGAGGCAGAGGAUAGGGAACUUUCGGACAUGCUUUGUUCAGACCAGUGUAGUCUACACACAUCCGCCAUUUCCCUCCUUUCUUUCUCACAAGCACAGGGUUGGCAAGCCAUUCGGGAUGGAAUACCUCUUUGAUGAACCCUGCUGCCAUCAGCUUGUGGAUCUCCUCGCCUAUGGCUCUGCGCUUUUCUUCGUCGAAUCGGCGUAGAGGCUGCUUCACGGGUCGGGCUCUAGCUCGGAUAUCCAGUGAGUGCUCGGCGACCUCCCUCGGUAUGCCAGGCAUGUCCGAGGGACUCCACGCAAAGAUUUCGGCGUUUGCGCGAAGAAAGUCGACGAGCACCGUUUCCUAUUUGGGGUCGAGCUCGGAGCCGAUCCAGAUCUGCUUGGAGGCGUCGUUGCUGGGGUCGAGAGGGACGGAUUUGACCGUCUCUGCUGGCUCGAAAUUGCCGGCAUGGUGCUUCACGUCUGGCGCCUCCUUGAUGAGGCUCUCCAGGUCGGCGAUGAGGGCCUCGGAUUCGGCGAGGGCCUCGGCGUACUCCACGCACUCCACGUCGCAUUCGUACGCGUGCCGGUACGUGGGGCCGACGGUGAUGACCCCGUUGGGGCCCGACACCUUGAGCUUGAGGUAGGUGUAGUUGGGGACGACCAUGAACUUGGUGUAGCAUGGCCUCCCCAGCACUGCGUGGUAGGUUCCUCGGAACCCAAGCACCUCGAACGUGAGGGUUUCCCUUCGGAAGUUGGAGGGAGUCCCAAAGCAGACGGGUAGAUCGAGUUGUUCGAGGGGCUGGACGCGUUUCCCGGGGAUGAUCCCGUGAAAAGGCGUCGCGCCCGCCCGGACCGAGGACAGAUCGAUCCGCAGGAGCCCGAGGGUCUCGGCGUAGAUGAUGUUGAGGCUGCUGCCUCCGUCCAUGAGGACCUUGGUGAGCCUGACGUUGCCGAUGACGGGGUCGACAACGAGCGGAUAUUUCCCCGGGCUCGGCACGCGGUCGGGAUGGUCGCCCUAGUUGAAGGUGAUGGGCUUGUCUGACCAGUCUAGGUAGACUGGCGCCGCCACCUUUACCGAGCAGACCUCUCGACGCUCUUGCUUGCGGUGCCGAGCCGAGGCGUUUGCUACUUGCCCACCGUAGAUCAUGAAGCAGUCGUGGACCUCGGGGAACUCCCCUGCCUUGUGAUCCUCCUUCUUAUCGUCGUUGCGGGCCCUGCCACCUUCCGCAGGUGGCCAGGCCUUGUGAAAGUGGCGCCGAAGCAUGGCGCACUCCUCAAGGGUGUGCUUGGCGGGCCCCUGAUGAUAGGGGCACGACUUCUUGAGCAUCUUGUCGAAGAGAUUGGCGCCUCUGGGAGGUUUCCGAGGGUUCUUGUACUCAGCGACGGCGACAAGGUCCGCGUCGGCGGCGUCGCGUUUCGCUUGCGACUUCUUCUUGCCUUUCUUCUUGGUGCCGCGCUGAGUGGACGCCUCGGGGACAUCUUCCGGCUGGCGGCCCUGGGGCUGCUUGUCCUUCCAGAAGAUGGCCUCAACCACCUCCUGGCCAGAGGCGAACUUGGUGGCGAUGUCCAUCAACUCGCUCGCCCUAGUGGGGGUCUUGCGACCCAGCUUGCUCACCAGGUCGCGGCAGGUGGUGCCGGCGAGGAACGCGCCAAUGACAUCCGAGUCGGUGACGUUGGGUAGCUCGGUGCGCUGCUUCGAGAAUCACCGGAUGUAGUCCCGGAGAGACUCUCCCGGCUGAUGGCGGCAGCUUCGGAGAUCCCAGGAGUUCCCAGGGCGCACGUACGUGCCCUGGAAGUUGCCGGCGAAGGCUCGGACCAGGUCGUCCCAGUUGGAGAUCUGCCCCGGAGGCAGAUGCUCCAGCCAGGCUCGAGCGGUGUCGGAGAGGAACAGGGGGAGGUUACGGAUGAUGAGGUUGUCAUCGUCCGUUCCACCCAGUUGGCAGGCCAGCCGGUAGUCCGCGAGCCACAGUUCCGGCUUCGUCUCCCCCGAGUACUUUGUGAUAGUAGUCGGGGUUCGGAACCGGGUCGGGAACGGCGCCCGUCGUAUGGCCCGGUUGAAAGCCUGCGGACCGGGUGGUUCGGGCGAGGGACUCUGAUCCUCCCCGCUGUCGUAGCGUCCCCCACGCCUGGGGUGGUAGCCUCGGCGCACCCUCUCGUCGAGGUGGGUUCGACGGUUGAGGUGGUGGUGCUCGUUGCCGAGGCGACCCGGGGCCGCAGGCGCUGUGUUGCGCGUACGCCCGGUGUGGACCGAGGCUUCCUGCAUGAAUCGGGAAGUCACGACGCGAUGCUCCGAAGGGUACCCCUGCUUUCGGGAGGCAGAGCUUUCGGCCCGUCGGACCGCGGCAUCCUCCAGGAGAUUCUUGAGCUCUCCCUGGAUACACCGCCCCUCGGUGGUUGAUGGCUCCGACAUCGCGCGGAGAAGUAUCGCUGCUGCAGCCAGGUUCUGGCCGAACCCAUGUGGCGGAACCACCCGAAUUAUUCCAGCUUAAGUGCCUAAGUCACGCCUCAGGGGCCGUAACACACUUAAAUCGGAAUAACCCGUCAGUCCCUCAGAUCUAGUCUGAUGGAGCCACUUAACCAGGAUCAAAUUCCACAAUCUCACUUGAAGGUGAGUCACAGAAGAAAUACAAUAAAACAGGAAACCUCAAAUUAAGUGCUGAGUUAUUACAUAAAUCGGAGUUUUUGAGUAGCAAAUAAAGUUCACAAAAUAAAGUGCAGCGGAUAAUCGAUGUCGUCGGUAAUGAGGAAAUGGGCAAGGCCUAGCCCACUACUCCUCGUGCUCCUCUCCUGCCGCAGCAACAUCCCACUCGACCGUCCAACCCGGUGGCAGGGUGGUAGGCCAAGUCACACCAUCAACCAUUUCCUGAAUGGUACCUGCAAAAAUUGUGCCACAAGCAAGGCUAAGUAUACUAAUACUCAGCUAGACUUAACCGGUGUGAGGAGUCUACUCCUCUACCUCUAGACUAUGCAGCUGUUUGGCUGAGGGGUUUGGUUUGCCAAAAGCACUAGCUGUUUCUAAAAUCAAUUUUUAGCUUUUCAAAUUCUAUCAUCAUUAACUUAGCUAGAUUUGCUCCUUCUAAGCAUACAUGGUGACAAGCAUUUAGUUCAAUCAACAAGUUAUCUCAUGUAACCUCAUUUCUCUUCUUACUCGAUGUCGUACAAGGGGUCAAGCAGUCUCAUUAGCUGCGAGAAGCAGACGAUUCAAAUCGAGUUUUAACCUUGCAAGGUAAACCUAAACACACGACAUGUCAGGGUACUCCGACCCCACACAUGACAACCGUCCCCAUCGAUUCCCCGUUCGCGUCCAGGCCUCAGUGCCUUGGCAUACAAUGCUCCACUGACCCCGGCUGCCGCCGUGCAGUGACCGCACUUGUACCCACCAUAGCUAGCAUGGGAGACCUAGUCUCAGGUCGCAUGAGGGAUAAAGUCCGCGCCCGGCUUCACUCAGGUACUAGGUUUACCGGUUACCAUUUUUCUCGGCAUGUGUUUAGUACGUUCAAAAGCUUGACUCAGGUAUCCACACAUUAAUCCUUAAUUCUUUUUCCCGUCUCAUAGACAAGGCAUCCUCCCUGGAUCCAAGUCCAUAAACUAACAUAUAUCCCAUUAUCAAGAUGAAUACAAUCAAUUCCUGACCUCGCGCGAGUGCUAGAAAAAUCACUCGACUUCUACCGAGAUCUUGAUUAGCAAGCAGCUACUCGACCUAGCAUACUAGUAUUCAUCUCAAAAAGGAAUCCUAAGUUCAUGCAACUAGAGGUUUCAAGCAACUCCUACACUUAAGUGCACAUUACAAUCCUACAAGCAUUAAGUGUAGUAAAGUAGCAUAUAAUAAUACGGUUAUGCAUAAAACCCGGGGCUUGCCUUCAAUUGGUGGGGCUGCGGGGAGACCCUCAAUAGUAGCCUCUGAAGCCUGCUCCUGGUCCUCCUCUUGGACAUGUCCUUGCUCGGGGAUGAGCACGUACUCUCCAUCGGCAAGAUUACAAUCUAAUGAAUGCAAUGCGUAAGAUAUAUGCAUGAUAUGAUAUGUGCUUUUUAGAAAUUACAACUUUUGACGAUGUAUGAUCUACUUGAGUUAAACAAGGUUAACUUUACUUAUGUAAGACCCUUGGGUGGUAUACUUGGUAAAUUGGGUUAAACUUAGCUAAAGUAAGUGGUAGGUUUAUUUUUGGGGUUCCACUGAAUUCCUUUCAAGUCUUAGUGAGAAUUGAUGAGCAUUCCAGUUAGACUUAUUGGGGUGGGGUUUAUUUCUUCUUCCCUUUUCUUUUAUUCUCCUAAAGGUUUUGGAGUGGGUUUGAACUACAAGUUGCUUUUAUAAAAUUCUGCAAAAAUUAUAGUGGCUUGGUACUGGUGUAUGUUUAUCUGUCUCAAAAUUUGGAGAUCAGAAAGUGAAUGGUUUUCUCUGGACAAAAUUAUUAAAUUUUAGGGCAGAAGGGGUGCUUUGAACUACAACUAUCAUUUAACAGUGGGUAGUUCUCUAAAACUUAUUUUUGCUGGCUUUUAGGUGUUAUAACAUGACUUGAUACAAAUUUCUAGCCAUUAAUACCUUUUAGUUAUUUUUCUAUAGUUUUCUCAAGUUUCUAGCCAAAUAGGUGCUUUCUACUACCAUUAUAAUUGAAAAUAUCAAACAACAGAGUUCUUAUUUUUCUUAGUUAUUGUUUUGCGCAAGAGCAAUCAUUCUGAAGUUUGGCCUCUUUUUGCUUAAGGGAAGGGGUGGUAUGCAUUAUUUGAAUUAAGUGGCCUUUUUCUUAAAUCAUUAGCAAUAGGUAUGAGUUUGCUUCUUUUUCAUGGGUUUGCAUUUUUCUCUGGUGGUUUAUCUCAUUAUGGACUUAGCAAAUUUUUGGUUGCCCAUUAUCACAUUAUUAGGGGUUGUUCAUGAUUUAUUUGGAAAAUACCUCAUUAGCAUUUUAUAUUUAUUUUCCUUACUUAAAAAGUUGGGCUGAGGUGUUCUUUAUUUUUGUAGUGGGGCUCUGGUGGUUGUAAGUCCACUGGAUUUUUAUUAUCCAAUUUGGGUAUAGUUUUGUAACUCUAAUAAUUGAUUUUCAGUUCAAAUAAGGCUAAAUAAAGCAUUCUAAUUUAAAACUGAUCUGGACUAAUGGUCUCUCUAUUUUUCUAAGGUUCUCUGUUACACAAGUAAACUAGGAAAAAUAAUUUUAAUCACUGUUCAUUAAUUUCUAAUGCCUUUCUGAUUUUUUCUAAGUUUUGGGCAAAAUAGCUUUAAAUGAAUAUCUACAUCAUAUUUUUCAAUGCUGGGGUUCCUACUAUUUUUAAACAGUGUCUAAAUGAGGUUUGAAUACCUACAAAUUUUCUUAGGUUCAGUACAGAAGAAAAACUAAUUUUCCUUAAUUAAACAAGGUUUGGUGGAUUUCUGUUUUUAAUUUUAAACUUAAAAAUUCAGAACAAAAAGCAUAGGGUUCAUCAUUUUUAAAUGAUAGUCAAAAUAUUAAGGAGCUAGCAAAAUUAGUUUGACAACUUUUUAUUAAAAAUUCAUCAAGUUAUGGGUUUUCUAAGUUCUCUGCUCAUUUUAAAAAGAUUAACAAAAUUGAUUAAAUGGAAAACCGCUUUGCACUGGGGGUCCCUGGCGGGUAUCCUAAGUUUUCUUCGCGGAUCAGUCCCUAGGCCACUAUUCACAUGGGUCACUGACGUUACAGAAAACCCCUCGGGUUCUUCAAAUCCUAACCCGAGGUCCUUCUCCUAACUUGAACAGUGACCGCGGCGGAAGAAAGGGCGGAGGGGCUUACCGGCGGCGAGAUUGCUUCGGUGAAGUGGUCGAGGACGUAGGGGAGGUCUCGGGGAUCACAACGCUGUGCGGGUCGCCGUCGGGGAUGGUCGGAGUUGGCCGGUCCACGUGCGUAGGCGGGGAUGCUCGUCGGCGGCGAGGAGUCCGGCCUGCUCACGGCGAGAUAGUCCAAUUGGACGGGUCAGAGAGGUUCAUGGGAUGCCAGAGAAAAUAUGGAUGCAAGGAAUUGGGCGGAGACUCACCGGUUAGCUCUGUCCACGCGCGGCGGCGAAAGACCGAAGUCCGGUAAGGUCGAUCUCGGGCUUCCGGUGAAGUCCGGCCUGGUUCGAGGGCUUGGAAAGCUUCAUGGGCCACUGGCGGAGCUAGCCGAACCACUGGCUCGACUCGGGGGUGGCUGGAGUGGGCUGGCCGCGGUGGCCGAAGCUCUGGCGGCAAUGGCGGGCGGAAAUGCGCUCGCCGGAGCUAAGGAGAGGGGGCUGGCCGGUGAAGGUGAGCGCGGGGUGAAGUGAGGCGCGCCCGGGGAGGCUUUAUAGGCGUGGGCGAGCACGGCCGAGGGCAAGGGCGCGCGGCGGACUUGACCGAACGCCGGGGCGAGCGCGCACGCGGGUUGGGCGAGCGCCGGCGUGCCGACGAGGGUCGAACACGUGUGCUCGUGCGUUCUGCCCAAGUUCUGGCGAGUGUGGUCGCCCAUCCGAGCCUGCUCUCGCCUUGGUCAGUGCACAAAACCUCUUCUCCUCCCUACAAGCUACCAAUCUUGUGUGGGGGUCAUAGGAUUUUGCCUACUGGUUGCAGAGAUAUGGAGCCCGGAAAUCCGGUCUGUCUCCCUGCUCAAACCCGAGGCAAAUCCAAGGUUUUGUCGUGUCUAGGGCUCGCGUCCCAAUGCCAUCUUCUGGCACACGACAUAGGGGUUAGUUAGGCACAUUUUUGUUAAUGGGGCCAUUAGGAUUCGAGUUAGGGAUCAAGGUGAACAUCCCUGAUCUUUGGCUCAAGGUCUAAAUUUCAGAAUUCUGAAAUUCAGAAUUCCCAUUAAGUCCCCACAUGAGAAGCUUGAUUUGGGGUUUUAUUUGAGUUAUUUUGGCCAAGCUUUCUCAACCUUUCUUGUUGCUUAUAAAAUAUACUUCAAUUUUUAUAAUUGGCUCAAGUCAUAAUUUUAAAUUUUUCAUACCCUUUUCCUUAUUUUCUUGAAUUUUUCUCAUGGGGCUCACUUAGGGUUUUUAUUAGGGUUACAACAUUCUUACCUUUUUGAAGGACCCAUUUGCUUUGAUCAUGAUACUUUUAAGUAUAUGCUUGGUGAAUUCUUUCUUACUUAAGUUAAUUUGAUGCUCAUGCUUACUUUGGUUCACAUAAAAUGAUGGUUCUUGGUUUGGCUUUUUGAGAGAAACCCUAGGUGACACUGGGGUGUCACACCCCACUGGAAGCCGGUGGUGGCCUUGCCCUGACGUCGUCGGCAAUGCGGUGCUGGAUGCCCUGGGGUGGAUGACGCGCUUCUCCGGCCAGAGCUUGGUUUGCCCAUUCCUGCCCGAUGUUCCGCCGGAACGGCUCAAGUGUUCCUGCUCCCUCGUCGAGCCUGGCCUGCAUCUCGCGGAUUUGCUUGAGCUGUGCGUCCUGACCCCCCGCAGGGACUGGGACCACAGCUAGCUCCCGAAGGAUGUCAACGCGAGGCGCAGGCCUAGGAGGAUCACCGUUUUCCGGUAUACCAAGAUGGUUGCGUUCGCCGGGACCCCCUAGAUCGACGUGGAAACAUUCACGACUUGGGUCGCAGUCCUUGUCGCCGAAGCUGCGGCUACCGUCGGAACAAUCGGAAAGGCAGUAGUCGCAUGCGGUCAUGAAGUCCCGCAUGGCACUGGGGUUGCCAAGUCCGGAGAAAUCCCAACAAAAGUCAGGCUCGUCAUCUUCCUCGGAACCCGAGGGUUCGUAGGUCGAGACGGCCGUCAGCCGGUCCCAGGGUGACCGCAUACCGUACCCCAGAGGGUUUAGACAUGCCUCUAUGAGGGCUUCCACCGAAGCGAAGUCGCUUGGUGGGUCGAGGCUGAAUCCAAAAGGCACGAGAUCGGAAUCGGUCGGUACCUCUUGGUCGACGAGCGGUGACAAAGUCGCGUCAGGGGCAGAUUGCACCGUAGUCUCAGGUACGAGGGUGACGCUCAGCAAGACCUUUGCGAGCGUGCUGGCAUCGUCCAUCCACUUGGAGUUGGCGUGUUGCGGGGAAACGACGCUCGUCUUCGUCUCAGACGCGAGGCCGACGCUCGACGUGUCCCCCGUUGGGGCGCCGGCGCCGUCGACUUGCUAGACAGCCGACGAGGUGCCGCCUCCUGCUUGGCCUUGGUUGCCCCGCCUCUUCCUCCGUCAGCGGGGGAGGCGACGGGACAAACCCGAAUGUUGUUCUUCCGCCACGUGGGGAAGACGUCGUCGAUUCCGCCGCCGGCGGGCGGGUUAUCGGCCGCCAUUAUCGCUGUCGCGCGGCGGGGGAAGGAGUAUCAUGUCGUAGCUGCCGUAGAGGGACAUGAACUCAAGACUCCCGAAACGGAGCACCGUCCCGGGCUGGAAAGGUUGCUGGAGACUACCCAUCUGGAGCUUGACGGGAAGCUGUUCGUCAACACGCAGCAGGCCCCUACCUGGCGCGCCAACUGUCGGUGUUUCGACCCUGGGGGGUCCUGGACCGACGAGUAAAUUGUCGCCGCGUGCCCCAGCCCAGAUGGGUCGGCACGAGACGAAGCACGAAGGGGGGAAAAAGGAGACAAGCGUAAAGGGGAAACCCGCGGCCUUCGUGUUUGUCCUGCACCCAGGUCGGGUGCGCUUGCUGUAGGGGGUUACAAGCGUCCGCGUGGGUGGGAGCGAGAGACCUGUACACGCCGUCCCGUCCUCCCCGCGCGGCCAACCCCCUCGUACGAGUGCCCUGGGCCUUCCUUUUAUAGGCGUAAGGAGAGGGCCCAGGUGUACAAUAGGAUAUGUAGCAGUGUGCUAACGUGUCUAGCAGAGAGGAACUAGUGCCCUAAGUACAUGCCGUCGUGGCAGCCGGAGAGGUUUUGGCGCCCUGUUCAUGUGAUGUCGUGGCCGUCGGAGGAGCGCUGGAGCCUUGCGGAAGGACAGCUGUCGGGGCUGUCGAGUCCUUGCUGACGUCUCCUUGCUUCCGUAAGGGGCUGAGAGCCACCGUCGUCAUGGAGCACGUGGGGCGCCAUCAUUAUUUGUUUACCGGGGCGAGCCAGAUGGGACGCCGGUCUUGUUCCCCGUAGCCUGAGCCAGCUAGGGGUAGGAUAAUGAUGGCCCCUCCUGUGACGUGGUCGGUCCGAGCCCUGGGUCGGGCGAGGCGGAGGCUCCUCCGAGGUCGAGGUCGAGUCUGUCUUCCGAGGUCGAGGUCGAGUCUGAGCCCUAGGUCGGGCGAGGCGGAGACCAUCGUAUGAGACCAAAGCUGAGUCCGAGCCCUGGGGUCGGGCGAGGCGGAGUUCGUCGUCUUCUAGGGCCGAGGUCAAGUCCGAGCCCUGGGGUUGGGCGAGGCGGAGUUCGUCGUCUUCCGGGGCCGAGGCCGAGUCCGAGCCCUAGGGUCGGGCGAGGCGGAGCUUCCUAUGGCGCCUGAAGCCGGACUUGGCUGCUGUCAGUCUCUCUCUGUCGAGUGGCACAGCAGUCGGAGUGGCGCAGGCGGCGCUGUCUUCUUGUCAGGCCGGUCAGUGGAGCGGCGAAGUGACUGCGGUCACUUCGGCUCUGUCGACUGAAGGGCGCGCGUCAGGAUAAGGUGUCAGGCCAUCCUCGCAUUAAAUGCUCCUGCGAUACGGUCGGUCGGUGUGGCGAUCCGGCCAAGGUUGCUUCUCGGCGAAGACUGGGCCUCGGGCGAGCCGAAGGUGUGUCUGUUGAUUGAGGGGGCCUCGGGCGAGACGUGAAUCCUCUGGGGUCGGCUGCCCUUGUCCGAGGCUGGGCUCGGGCGAGGCGAGAUCAUGUCCCUUGAGUGGACCGAGCCUUGACUUAAUCGCACCCAUCAGGCCUUUGCAGCUUUGUGCUGAUGGGGGUUACCAGCUGAGAUUAGGAGUCUUAGGGGUACCCCUGAUUAUGGUCCCCAACACUAGUCAUGUUCUUAUUAAUCAUAAUGAUCUGCAUAGGUUAAUUUUGAUGGGACCCAAUAGGUUACCCUAGUUUGUCUAUCUUUAUACCUUGUUUUACCACUGAAUUUUUGGGUAGUACAUGCUAUUGCUUUAUGUGGUUUUGGGUAUGGAGAUAUACAUUACUCAUGAUUAUACUUUUUAUUAUCAGUUUAUUAUUUACUGUUCGUGAUAAGAUCAUUAUGUUAUUGGGAACAUGGAGAACCACCCGGAAAAACAGUGCUACCACAAGGGUGGUAUGGGAUGCCCUUGGCUGACUAACUAGGAAAGCUAGUGGAGGACUACCUUACCCGAUAGGGGCAAGGGAAGUAGGGGAGUGGUCAGUGUAGGGAGGUCCUUGGGUUGAUUUUGCUGCGAUGGCGGUCAGGCGAGGGAUCCCUGCACUGGAGCUUCCUAGAAACUGUAGCGGGUUUUCUGAAGCUAUUGGAACUUUAUAAAGGCCUCGUAGUGGAACCCUGCCUCGCUUCCAUGGUAGAGGUGUAUGGGGUCCGGUCAACCCCAUGGAAAAUGGGUAACACGACUUGUGGGUAAAGAUACGCGACCUCUGCAGAGUGUAAAACUGGUAUACUAGCCGUGCUCACGGUCAUGAGCAGCUCGAACACUCAUAUGAUUAAUUUAUGGAAUUAAAUUCAAUUUGUCAUUUGCAUCACAUUGGGAUUUAUUAUUAUGAUUUUGACUUACUAUUACUAUGGUUUGGUAUUUACUUACAUUUAGUAACUGCUAAUAAAAUUUUGACCAACUUAUAAAAGUAAUGCUGUGGCAGAACCGCCCGAAUUAUUCCAGCUUAAGUGCCCAAGUCACGCCUUAGAGGCCGCAACACACUUAAAUCGGAAUAACCCGCUAGUCCCUCAGAUCUAGUCCGAUAAAGCCACUUAUCCAGGAUCAAAUACCACAAGCUCACUCAAAGGUGAGUCACGGAGAAAAUACAAUAAAACAGGAAACCUCGAAUUAAAGUACUGGAGUUAUUACAUGAAUCCGAGUUUUUCAAGUAAACUGAAAUAAGUUCAUAGUUUAAAUUGCAGCGGAUAGUCGAUAACGUCGAAGGAUGAGGAAUAGGGCAAGGCCUUGCCCACUACUCCUGCUCCUCUCUUGCUAGAGCGACAUCCCACUCGACCGUCCAACCCGGUGGCAGGGUGGUAGGCCAAGUCACACCAUCGACCAUGUCCUGAAGCGUACCUGCAAAAAUUGUGCCACAAACAAGGAUGAGUAUACUAAUACUCAGAUAGACUUACCUGGUGUGAGGAAUCUACUCCUCUACCUCUAGACCAUGCGGCUGUUUGGCUGAGGGGUUUGGUUUCCUAAAAGCACUAGUUGAGUCUAAAAUCAAUUUUAGCUUUAAUAUUUCUAGUAUCAUAAAUUUUAGCUAAGUUUGCUCCUUAUAAGCAUACAUGGUAACAAUCAUUUAGUACAAUCAACAUGUUAUCUCAAGUAAAACCUCAUUUCACUUCUUACUCAAUGUAGUACAAGGGGUCAAGCAGUCUCAUUCGCUGCGAGAAGCAGACGAUUCGAAUCGAGUUUUUAAACCUUGCAAGGUAAACCUAAACAUACGACAUGUAGGGGCACUCCGUCCCCACACAUAUCUACAGUACCCAUCGAUUCCCCGUUCGCGGCCAGGGCUCACCGCCUUGGCAUACAAUGCUCCACUGACCCCGGCUGCCGGCGUGCAGUGACCGCACUUGUACCCACCAUAGCUAGCAUGGGAGACCCAGUCUCAGGACAAGUGAGGAUAAAAGUCCGCGCCCGGCUUCACUCAGGUACUAGGUUUACCGGUUACCAUAUUUCCGACAUGUGUUUAGUACGUUCAAACACUUGACUCAGGUAUCCACACAUUAAUCCUUAGUUCCUUUUUCCCGUCUCAUGGACAAGGCAUCCACCCUUGAUCCAAGUCCAUAGACCAUCAUAGAUCCCGUUAUCAAGAUGAAUACAAUCAAUUCCUGACCUCGAGCGAGCGCUAGAAAAAUCGCUCGACUUCUACCGAGAUCCUAAUUAGCAAAGUAGUUACUCGACCUAGCAUACUAGUAUCCAUCUCAAAAAAGGAAUCCUGAGUUUAUGCAGCUAAGGGUUUCAAGCAACUCCUACACUUAAUUGCACAUUACAAGCCUACAAACAUUAAGUGUAGUAAAGUAGCAUAUAUAAACUGGUUAUGCAUAAAACCGUGGCUUGUCUUCAAAUGCUGGGGCUGCAGGGAGAUCUUAUGUGGCAGGCUCGGGAGCUGGCUCCUAGUUUCCUCGUGGACAGCUGCUUGCUCGGGAAUGAGCACGUACUCUCUGUCAGCGAGGUUGCAGUCUAAUGAAUGCAAUGGGUAAGAUAUAUGUAUGGCAUGAUAUUCAAUUUAGCAAUUACAAUUGGAUGGUGAAUGAUUAAAUUAAUAAGGUAAAGCUUAACCUUACUACUGGAAAUUUUGGUGGUACACUUAGCUAUUUAGGUCAAGUUUGGUUAGGUUAAAUGGUCAGAUCAUUUUAGUAUUCCACUGAUUUCCUUUUUAUGUUUUAGUGAAAGUUUAUUAUAAUUCCUAGCUAAAUUCAUUGGGGGUGAGAUUCAUUAUUCUUCUCAAGUUAUCUCUUCUUCUCCUUUUCUUUUAUGCUUUUAAGGUGGGCUUGAACUACAACCUAGUUCUAUAAAUUUCCAAAAAUUCUGCGAAAAUCAUCACUUAAGUAUACUAAGAAAAAUAUGCUCCUCCUCUGUUUAUUAUUUUCUACUACCCUUCUUAAUUUUCUAAGUUUUGGACAGAAGUAGUUUUUAAUAGCAAAACUUGAGUAAAUCCUGUAUACUGGAGUGCUUAGUAUUUUUAAAUAGUGCCUAAGUUAGGUAUGUAUCUCUACAAAUUUUCUUAAGCCUAGUAUAAAAGCAUUUCUAUUUUUCUUCAUAUUAAUAAGGUUUGGGCAGUUUCCUUAUUUAAUUCAAAACCCUAAAAAGUAAUAUAGAAAUCAUGGGGUUUACUAUUUUUGCCUGAUAGUUUGUAUUAUUUUGAAUCGAGCAAAAUGGGUUUGACUAAUUUUGGAUAAAUAUUCUUCAAGUUAUGAAUUUCCUAAGUUCUCUGUUCCUUAAAAGAAUAAUCAGAAAUGGUUAAAUUAAAACUACCUUUGCAUCGGGGUCCUUGGCGAAUGUUUUUAGGUUUCCUUACAGACUAGUCCUCGGGUCACAAUUCAAAUGUGCCACUGACAGUUCAGAAACCCCCCUGGGGUUUUGCUAAACCUAACCAGAGGUUCUUCUCCCAAUUAAACAGUACCCACGCGACGGAGGAAAGGGCGGCGGGGCUUACCGGCAGCGAGAUUGCUCCGGUGAGGUGCCCGAGGGUGUAGGGGAGGUCAUGACGGUCACGCCGAUGUGCGGAUCGUCUCCGGGGAUGGUCAGAGUAGGCCGAUCCACGUGCGCAGGCGGGGGAGCUUGUUGGCGGCGAGGGCUCCGGCCUAUCCAGGGCGAUAAAGUUUAAUUGAACUGGUUAGUGAGCUUCACUCGGUGCUCGAGAAGGCAUGGGUGCGAGGAAUUGAAGAAUGGCUCACCGGAUAGCUCGACCUACGCGCGGUGGCGGGCGGCCGAAGUCCGGCGUUGAUGAUCUUGCUGUUCUGGUGAGGCAGGGCUUCGAUUCUUGCUUGGAGAAGCUUCACGGCUCCUCGGGGAAACUUUCAAAGGGUUCGGUUGAGGCUGAGGGUCUCCGGAAAUGGCUGGACACGGUGGCCGGUGCUCGGGUGGCUCGGGCGGGUGGCGUAGAGCUCACCGGAGCUAAGGAUGGUGUCUGUCCAGCGAAGAUCAGUGCGGAGUGAGGUAUGGCGCGUUUGGGGUGGUCUUAAAGGCGCGGGCGAGCAUGACUGAGGGGUCGCUCUGACACGCGCUCAGGGUGUGCGCGGGCGAGCGCCAGUGCGCGAUCUGGCGCCUAGAUACGACGUCGAGCACGAGGCAGUGCAAAGAGAGGUCAAGUUCAAGCGCAGAUUGGCUCCAAAUCUUCACGAUUAUGGCCAUGAUCCCGUUGAGAGAUCUCUUCCCCUAACAUUCCUUUGUCGUUUGUGUGUGGAGGCUUAUGGGUUUAGCUGACUGGAUCAAAAGAUAUGGAGGGAUGAAGUUUGGUUUGUCCCACUGCUGAACUCUGAGAGGAAAUCCUAGAUUUGACGUGUCUAGGGCACGAAUCUCGAUGCCAACUUCACACACGUUGUAGAGGGGUUAGUUUAGAACAAUUUUUUCAAUGGGGACUUAAUAAUUUGAUCUAGAGAUCAAGGUGAACGUGCUCAAGUUCUAGGUGAGGUCUGAAAUUCAGCAAUCUAAAUUUCAGAUUUUCCCUAGAGAGCCUCCACUUGGAUGGCCUUUUUAGAGAUUUUAAUCAGAUAUUUUGGCCAAACUUUUAUAACAAUUAUUGUAGCUUAAUUAGUGUAUUUCAACUGUUAUAAUUGGCCUAAGCCAUGAUUCCAUGUUUUUCAUAAUCUUUUUACCAAUUUCUUCCUUUCUACUUAAAUGGCAUAAUUAGGGUUGUUCUAGGGUUUAAACAUUUUCCCCAUUUUGAAUACAUGAUAUGAUUUAGGCAUGAGUCUUAGGAUAAAAGAAUUAGUUGAACUUUUGCUCUCAAGUUUUUGGUGUCUUUUGCUCAAUUUGAUUGACAUGAGAUAAUGGUUCUUGAGUGAACACUGAGAAGAACUUUUGGGAAUUACUGGGGUGUUACAGCCUUCCCCCCUUAAAGGAAUUUUGUCCCGAGAUUCGGGUGUAGGAAACGGGUGAUGCCUAAGAGGGGGGUGAAUUAGGACUUCUAAAACUUUCACUAAACUAGGCCAUUAAUAAAUCCUUAGAGCAAAACCUAAGCAAAUAAUCAAACUAGAAUGUGCAAACUAGGUUUUGUCUAUGUGUUGCUAUCUCUACCGCAAUGGCUAAGUUUCAAUCUACACAAUAUAAGUAUGAAUACAAGAUUGAAACUUAAAUGCUUAAUAUAAAUGCGGAAACUAAAAGAGCAAAGUAGAGAUGCAAAUCUCGUGGAUGAAGCUGGUAUUUUUACCGAGGUAUCCGGAACCGCGCAAGGUCCCGACUAAUCCUCGUUGGUUCCCCUACGCAAAGGGAUGCCCACACGAGGGCCAAGCACUUUGGUCGAGUAACUCCGUAGAGAGCCGCGGGCCUUCUCCACGCACAAGUGGUGAUCUGCUUCCGGCUCCUCUCGGAUGCUCCCUGCUGUCUUCACUAUCGAGCUUCCGGCCAAAAGGCCACGGGCCUCGUUCCCUCCGGUACAUGGUGGCGACCGUGACAUAAACGUGGUUGUCACGGUCUCGCAAGACUCUCGCCCCACUCGGUACAAUAAUGGAUCGCGCAAGAGCCGAGAGGUUGGUGGUUUAUCUAAACUCACUCAACUAACUAGGAAUCACCUAGAGCAAGCGCUAAAGCGGUCUAACUAACCUAAGCACUUCGUAAAGCACCUACGCUAAUCACCGAGUGAUUCUAUUAAGCACUUGGGUGUUUGAGCUCUUGGAAAUAUGCACUAUAUGUCUUGGUAUGUUGCUUGGGUUCUCACACUUGAGAAUGGCUGGUUGGGGUGGUAUUUAUAGCCCUAACCGCCAAACUAGCCGUUGGAGAGAAAGCAGCAGCUUUCUAUCGUCGGGUGCACCGGACAGUCCGAUGCACCACCGGACAGACACUGUGGAGUGUCCGGUGCACGCCACGUUAGCCGACCGUUUGCGUCUGUAGCAGUCGACCGUUGGAUCCGACCGUUACCGACUGUCCGGUGCACACCGGACAGUCCGGUGCUACAGCCCGAGGGCGCGUGUCCGCGGCCCCUUUGCGCAGACUGUCCGGUUGUCCCACCAGACAGUCCGGUGCGCACCGGAUAUGUACUGUUCACUGUCGGUGCGCCACCAGGCGUUGGCUGACAGCCCUUUUCUAGGGUUUCUUUGUUGAUUCCUUUGGGCUUCUUUUGUUAUUGAGUCUUGGACUUUUAUGCAUCUUUUUAUGUCUUCUUUUGAUGUGUUGCAUCCUGAUUUCCUAAGUCCAAUCCUCUUCGCAUCCUGUGAACUACAAUUAUCAAACGCCAAAACUCAAUUAGCCAAAUGGUCUGGGGUCCAUUUUCCUUACAAUCUGCCCCUUUUUGGUGAUUGAUGACAACACAACCAAAGCAAGCAAAUAAUACAGACAUUUGAAUGAAAAUAUUCAAUCUACUUGCUAGGAUGCAUGUUUGUCCCCAAAAUGUGAUGUUAUGGACUUAAGCCUCUGCCUAACUCCAUAAUUCACUUACUUCCUAUUUUGGACCAAAGAACCAAAACCACUUGAAGAAUUAAAAUUUUAAAUUGGUGGUGUUUGGUGUUUGAUACUUUUUUCAUUGCUUUGGUCCCUAAACUUCUCCCCCUUUGGCAUCAACCACGGAAAAGGAAGACAUUAAAAGCAUGUAGGAAGUAAAUAAGACUUGCCAUCAUAAGAUUUUUUUGUCAAAUGAUACCAAUUGAAGGAUACUAAAUUAAACCACACGUAGGGUACCGGUUGAACUAAAUAGUUACUCCCCCUAAAUGAGUGUUCUCUUUUAGAAAGAGAUUUCUUCCCUUUUUAGAGACGAAGAAUACUCCCCCUGACAGAGAACUUCUACUUAGGAAAAAACAUGUGAAAAUUAGAGGUGCAAGACAUGAUUUGAUUAGACUAACUUCCUUAUGCAUAGGUAACAGAAUAUGAUUUAACCACUUAUGCAUGUAUAGCAACAAAUGAAGUAUAAGAUAUGAAAUAUAGUCUAACCAAAAGUUGGAGAAGACAUGUAAAUGAUGUGACAUGAGGAGUUCUUGUUGAUUUGCAGUGGAAGAUUGUUGUCUUUCUCUCGGAACUUCAUUUUCCUUACAAUGAGACUAUCACAUGAAAUAGACUUGAAAAAGGUAUUAGUCUCAAAGUAUUAGAUUAUAGAGUAACCUCUCCCUGAAAGUGUGCAUACAAGUUUUGAAUACUUGUAGGAGACAUGCACUUUGAUUUGAUAUAAAAAAGGGACAGAUUAUCUAUAAUCCGAACAUUGGCACAUAUAAGUUAAAUGAUACAAAUUGUAGAAUAUGAGCGUUUUACCACUUGUGGAAUUAAACAUAUCAAUUGAUGUAUCAUUUAUUAUGGAAUGAUAAAGAAGCUAUGUGUCGUGCUUAAAUAAACAUUUUAAACCAUGUAGGUUUGCUUAAGUGUAUGAAUUGAAAGCAAGCAAUCCUACUAUGUGAUUUACCUAGUUUGCAUGCAUUUAAAAAAAGUAAAUAUCAAUUGUAAUACUAGGCAUGAAAAGUAAACUAGAUACACAGUAAAUAGAUACGCUUAUCUAAAAAUAAGAAAUGUAAUAAAUCUUGUUACCUUAGUCAUGGGUGGGGAAAUUUGGGUCCAAAAUAUUUACUAACUCACUUGGCAAUAAACUUGAUCCAAUAUGAUGUAUCCCAUGAUUUACAUCCUAGCUUUGCCAAGUCUCCAAAUUUCCUGUGGUUCUUCGGACUACUCACUUCCCUUUCGGGAUCCAAACCUUCUUGGUGCUUUUCAUGGUUGAAAUUAUUUCUUUUGGCACCCAGAUGCGUUUAGCCCCUUCUCCUAUGUUGACUUUCUUGUUGGCCUUGAUUGCUAUCACCUUUCCAUUCUUUUUCUUCUUGAUCAAAUAUGGUGUAGCAGCCUUUUUGUCCACCUUGUUGAUGUAGGUGUUGGAGAUUUUUCUUGAUGGCUUUUGCUUGAGCUUUUGCCUUUGCUUAUCCCUGAUCAUCGUCUUGCAUUGGAAAGACUUGUGGCCUUCCUUGUAGCAUAACCUACAAAUCACAAUUUCACCCUCCAUAGGCUUGUUCACUCCCGCAGUGGUGUUAUCCUGUGGAGGUCGGAUUUGUUUGGCUUUGCCUUUCUUGUCAUACAAGGCUUUUCUAAGGCGAGCCACUUCUUGCUUUAAUUGCUUGUUUUCCAUUGCAAUCUCGUCCGAACAAGUUUCUAUAACAACAUUCUUAACAAGAACUUGAUUGCAGGGGUUAGAAUCAUCAAUUAAAUCAAAGCAGGAAGUAGAAGCAUCUUUCUUAAUAAUUUCAGGUAUUUCGACCAAAGAUACUUCUAGGGUGCUACCAAUGUUUUCUAGCUUAGUACUUAGCUCAUUAUUGUGUAUGCUAAGAAUUUCCAUUUUCUUUAGCAAAUUUUCAAUAGCUUCUUGGGAGCUAGCUAGCUUAGCCUUAAGUUUUUCAUUCUUUUUAAGAAGGCCAUCAUCGGUAGCAGUGGAUGGAGCACUAGACUCUAAUAGCUCAAUUUUAGUUGACAGCUCACUAUUUAAGUUUGCAAAGGUUUCAAAUUUUUCUAGCAAACCUUUAUAAUCAUUUUGAGAGCUAAUCAACUUAUUUUCAAAGUUUUAAGUUGAGCUUUUUGCUUAGUGCAAACAUCCUGAAAAAAUUUAACGGCUUCCGCAAGUUCAUCUACAGAGGGUUUUCCCUCACCUUCAUCAUUACUACUACUUUCAUCACUCGAGGAUGGAAUACUCAUUUUACCACUUUCCAUAAGGCACUUGCGUGAUGACAGUGAUGAGCGUGAUGAGGAUCGGUGGCUACGCGUCCUUGGAGGUUCAUCUUCGCUGGAAGAGUCGUCCCAAGUUUUGACGCUUGUUAGCGCCUUGCCUUUGCUCCUCUCCUUUUUGGGUUCAGCCAUAGUUGGACAGUUGUCCCUGAAGUGGCCCUUCUCUCCACAUGCGAAGCAUCCUCUCUUUCUUUGUUUUUUCCUGUCAAUGUUAAAGAGAAUAUUUUCAACCUGCAGGGGCACACCCAUUAGAUUAAUCUUGCGGAUCAUCCCCAUUACCUUUCCGACGCGUCAGAUUGUUUUUUCGUCCUCGGAGUAUGAUGUGCAUUGUUGAUUAUCUUCAUCAUCAUCACUUUCUUGUUCUUUCUCUUCUUCACUUGAGGAACUUGGAGUGGGAGCCUUCUUUUUACCUUUCCUUUCAUCACAUGCAAAAGCAUAUGACCUUGAGGAAGUUGGCUCCUCUCCCCAACACAUUUUUCGUGACAUCUCAAAUGUCGCGUUUUUCCCAAUCACAAUGGUUGGGGUCAUGGUACUCUAGUCCUCCAUGUUGUGAAGGAUGGUGAUGAUGUUCCCAUAUCUUUGUUGUGGUAAUAAGGAGAUAAUCUUCCUCACAAUGUCCGCAUCACCUAGCUUAUUAAUGUCAAUAGAAUUGAGCUCAUUGAUAAUUAGAUUUAAACGAGAAUACAUGUCUCUAACAAGCUCAUCAUCUUUCAUAGCAAAAGUAUUAUACUCAUUUAAGACUAGGCAAUGUUUUUGCUCACGAACAUUGGAUGUGCCGUCAUGGAGCUCAUGCAAUUUUAGCCAAAUCUCAUUAGCAGUUUUCAAGGUAAAUACUUGAUUAAAAAUAUCCAUGCUAAGAGAUUCAUACAAGCAAUUUUUGGCUCUAGCAUUUAAAUGAAUUUCUUUUUCCUCACUCGUGGUGGGUUUCUCGGGAUUCUUGGGGGGUUUCAUCCCGUCACGAGUGACUCUCCAAACACCUAGAUCAACGACCUCUAGGUAACAAGCCAUUCUAGCACUAUAAUAUGGGAAGUUAGUGCUGUCGAAGUGUGGUGGCCUAUGGGUAUCCAUCCCUUCCUCUAAAAAGUGUCGGCUCUUUUAGCGGUGAAGCUAAAGCGUUUCAAAUGAGCCAAACCAGGCUCUGAUACCACUUGUAGGAAAUGGGUGACGCCUAAGAGGGGGGGGGGGGGUGAAUUAGGACUUCUAAAACUUUCACUAAACUAGGCCAUUAAUAAAUCCUUAGAGCAAAACCUAUGCAAAUAGUCAACUAGAAUGUGCAAACUAGGUUUUGUCUAUGUGUUGCUAUCUCUACCGCAAUGGCUAAGUUUCAAUCUACACAAUAUAAGUAUGAAUACAAGAUUGAAACUUAAAUGCUUUAUAUAAAUGCGGAAACUUAAAGAGCAAAGUAGAGAUGCAAAUCUCGUGGAUGACACCGGUAUUUUUACCGAGGUAUCUGGAACUGCGCAAGGUCCCGACUAAUCCUUGUUGGUGCCCCUACGCAAAGGGAAGACCACGUGAGGGCCAAGCAGCUUGGUCGAGUAACUCCAUAGAGAGUCGCGGGCCUUCUCCACGCGCAAGUGGUGCUCCGCUUCCGGCUCCUCUCGGAUGCUCCCCACCAUCUUCUCUAUCGAGCUUCCGGCCAAAAUGCCGCGGGCCUCGUUCCGUCCGGUACACGGUGGCGGCCAUGACACAAACGCGGUUGUCACGGUCUCGCAAGACUCUCGCCCCACUCGGUACAAUAAAGGCUCGCGUAAGAGCCGAGAGGUUGGUGGUUUAUCUAAACUCACUCAACUAACUAGGUUUCACCUAGAGCAAGCGCUAAAGCGGUCUAACUAACCUAAGCACUUCGCAAAGGACCUACGCUAAUCACCAAGUGAUUCUAUUAAGCACAUGGAUGUUUGAGCUCUUGGAAAUAUGCACUAUAUGUCUUGGUAUGUUGCUUGGGCUCUCACACUUGAGAAUGGCCGGUUGGGGUGGUAUUUAUAGCCCCCAACCCCCAAACUAGCCGUUGGAUAGAAAGCAGUAGCUUUCUGUCGUCGGGUGGACCGGAUAGUCCAGUGCACCAUCGGACAGACACUGUGCAGUGUCUGGUGCACGCCACGUCAGCCAACCGUUUGCGUCUGUAGCAGUCGAUCGUUGGAUCCGACCGUUACCGAUUGUCCGGUGCACACCGGACAGUCCGGUGCUACAGCCCGAGGGCGCCUGUCCACGGCCCCUCUGCGCAGACUGUCCGGUUGUCCCAUCGGACAGUCCGGUGCGCACCGGACAGUCCGAUGCGCACCGGACAGUCCGGUGCACACCGGACAUGUACUGUUCACUGUCUGGUGCGGCACCAGGCACUGGCUGAUAGCCCUCUUCUAGGGUUUCUUUGCUGAUUCCUUCUGGCUUUUUUUUGUUAUUGAGUCUUGGACUUUUACGCAUCUUUUUAUGUCUUCUUUUGAGGUGUUGGAUCCUCAUUUCCUAAGUCCAAUCCUCUUCGCAUCCUGUGAACUACAAUUAUAAACACUAGCAAACAUAUUAGUCCACAGAUUGUGUUAAUCAUCAAACACCAAAACUCAAUUAGCCAAAUGGCAUGGGGUCCAUUUUCCUUACAUUGGGUCGGAGUCCUUCGGGGUGAAGCGAAGGUUAAGGCUAGCUUGAAUUUGGUGGUUUGUUCAUUAAGGUUCUUCUUAGUAAACUACUCUUCGAAUGUCAUCUUCUUUGCAACUUUAGAAGGAAGUCCUUUCUGAUUUAGUUUUACAACUAACUCAUUUUAUGUUAAGGUCAUUCUUAUUAUAUUUAGAUUCAGAGGGCAGGGGGAGGGGUUGGGCAUGGUUACGUACUACUUCCCUUAGGUAGACAAUCGGGGAAAUUCAAACAUAAAAAUUCCUCAGUCUCCCAAAUAGCCUCUUCCUCUAAGUGAUUACUCCAUUGGAUCUUAUACAUUUUGAUCGAUUUAGCCCAAGUUGAUCUUUCCUUGCAAUCCAGAACCUUGGAAGGGUACUCUUGGUAUGAUAGAUCUGGCUCUAUCUCCACUUCUGGUUUUGCUAUGAUCUCGGUUGGCAAUCAAACACAUUUCUUUAGUUAGGAUACAUGGAAUACAUUGUGGAUGGCAGACAUUUUUGGAGGUAACUUCAAUUUGUAUGCCACGGGUCCACAUGCUUCCACGAUCUCAUAAGGUCCAAUGUAGCGAGGGGCUAACUUGCCUUUGAUCCCAAACCUUUGCACUCCUUUGGUGGGUGAUACUUUCAGAUAUACGAAAUCUGCCACUUCAAACUGGAGAGGUUUUCUUCUCUUAUCAUGGUAACUCUUCUGCCUGGCCUGAGCAGCUUCUAGAUUCUUCCUAAUUAGCUUGACUUUCCUUUCGGCUUUAGUCACUAAGUCAGGUCCAAAAAUUUGAUUGACCCUUUCAAUUGAGGGGUGUUUGACACCUUCUUCCAUAUAGGGCUUUGAAGGGUGCCAUCUUUAGGCUGGAUUGAUAACUGUUGUUAUAAGCAAACUCUGCCAAAGAGAGGUACUUAUCCCAGUUCUUGCCACAAUCGAUUGCACAGGCCCUUAGCAUAUCUUCAAGAAUUUGAUUAACCCUUUCAGUCUGACCAUCAGUCUGUGGGUGGUAAGCUGAACUCCUUAUCAGCUUGGUUCCCAAAGACUCUUGCAAUUGUUCCCAAAAUCUGGCAACGAAUUGGGCUCCUCGGUUAGAGACAAUGGUUCGGGGUAACUCGUGCAAACACACGAUUCGGUCAAUGUACAGCUCUGCAUACUUUUGAGCCUUAUCGGUGGUGUGCACUGGAAGAAAAUGUGCCACCUUUGUCAAUCGGUCCAUGAUGACCCAAAUUGAAUCAUGAUGUCGAGAGGUGUUGGGCAGACCCACAAUAAAAUCCAUGUUGAUGUCAUCCCAUUUCCAUUAAGGUAUUGAUAGGGGUUGCAAGGCACCGGCUGAUUUCAAGUGGCUUGCCUUUAUCCUCUCACAUGUGUCACAUCCUGAUACAUAUUGGGCUAUCUCCCUCUUCAUUCUAGUCCACCAAUACAAGGGCUUCAAAUCAUGGUACAUCUUGGUGCUUCCUGGAUGCAUCGAGAAUUUGGAGAGAUGAGCCUCAUCCAAGAUUUUCUUCUUGAGAUCCUUACUUUUAGGAACCACCAAUCUGCUUCCAAACCACAAUAUACCCUUCCCAUCUUGGCGGAAACACUUAUACUUCUCUGUCUUCUGAUGGAGGUUCUCCUUAAUAAUUUGCACUCCCUUGUGACUGAGUUGGGCCAUGAUUAUCUGGUCUCGCAAAGUUGGCUCAACGGAAAUGUGAGACAAAGCACCAGAAGGAAUCACUUCAAUCUUCAUUUUGCUCAACUCAUCACACAGGGUGUUGAUGCGAGAAUCCAUCAUAACAAAGUUGCAUUGUGACUUCCGACUCAAGGCAUCAGCCACUGCAUUGGCUUUCCCCGGGUGGUAGUGUACCUCCACGUCGUAGUCCUUGAUCAGCUCUAACCAUCUUCUCUGCCUCAUGUUAAGAUCAGCCUGAGUAAAGAUAUACUUGAGGCUCUUAUGAUCUGUGAAGAUGUUGCAGUGGGUUCCCAUCAAAUAGUGUCUCCACAUCUUCAAUGCAUGAACCACGGCUGCUAACUCCAAGUCAUGAGUGGGAUAAUUCUGCUCAUGAGUCCUGAGUGCCCUUGAUGCGUAGGCAAUGACUCGGUUGUCUUGCAUCAAAACACAACCCAGUUCAGUGCCAGAGGCAUCACAAUACACAUCAAAUGGCUUGCCAUUGUCGGGUUGCGCUAACACCGGUGCUGUGGUCAGAUGCUGCCUCAAGGUGUGGAAAGCAUCUUCGCACUUCCGACCCCAAUCAAAUUUGGCUCCCUUUUUCGACAAUUCAGUCAUGGGCUUCUUAAUUCGAGAGAAAUCCGGAAUGAAUCUUCGGUAAUAACCGACCAAUCCCAAACAACUUCGAAUCUGACGGACAGUUGUUGGCGGCUUCCAGUUCAUCACUUCUUGCACCUUAUCCGGAUCAACAGCUAUGCCUUCCUGAGAUAGUGUGACCCAAGAAUUUGAUCUCCUUUAGCCAAAAAUCACAUUUUGACAGCUUGGCAUAAAGACGAUGCUCUCGCAAACAUUGAAGCACUAUAUGCAAAUGACUGGCAUGCUCUUCUUCGUUCUUUGAGUACACCAAGAUAUCAUCGAUGAAAACCACCAAAACUUGUCCAGUUCGGGCAUGAAGACAUAAUUCUUCAUAUACAUGAAGUAUGCUGGUGCAUUAGUCAGCCCAAAUGACAUCACCAAAUACUCAUACGACCCAUAUCUGGUCGAGAAGGCAGUCUUCGGAAUAUCACUUGCUCGUAUCUUGAUCUGAUGAUAGCCGGAGCAAAGGUCUAUCUUGGAAAACACUUUGGCUCCGACCAAUUGAUCGAAAAGAACAUCAAUACAAGGAAAAGGAUACUUGUUCUUGAUAGUCACCGCGUUGAGUGGGCGGUAAUCUAUGCAUAGCCUCAAGCUUCCAUCCUUCUUCUUCACAAACAAGGCUGGACAUCCCCAAGGCGAAGUACUUGGGCGGAUGAAACCCUUGUCUAACAACUCUUGCAAUUGCUUCUUCAAUUCCUCCAAUUCAGCGGGUGGCUUCCGGUAAGGCCUCUUGGAAAUAGGUCUCGUUCCCGGUUGCAACUCGAUGGCGAAUUCAAUAUCCCGGUCUGGUGGCAUUCCUGGCAAUUCAUUAGGAAAAACAUCUGCAUAUUCACAGACCAUUGGAAUCUUCUUCAAGGGUAACUCUAUCAUAGCAAGAGCACAUGAUCGAGUAGAGUCUUGGCUGGGUAGAUACAAUGCAAGGUCUCCGAAGGUAGGAGAACGGAUUUCCAGAGCUCUGGCAGCUACAUCCAACACCACUCUGUGUUGAGUCAUCCAGUCAGCUCCGAGAAUGAUGUCCAUACCUUCUAAUCCCAAAAUCAAGAGGGUGGUUUUGAAGAUCUUACUUCCCAGUGAGAUAGGCACAUUUCGGUUUAAUUGGUUCGUUGCAAUUUUGCCCCCUGGCGUUGUUAUCAUGAAAGACCCUUUUAUAUGAUAGAAAGGGAGUUGACAUUUAGCACUGAACUUAUGGCUAAUGAAGCUAUGAGAUGCACCAGAAUCAAACAAAAUUAAUGCAGGUUGAUUAAAAACUAAAAAGAUACAAGUCAUGAUGAGGGCUCCUUCAGGUAACUCCUCCAGAGUAGUGAAGUUGAGCUUCCCUUGCCUGACUUGCACCUUCUGCUUCCUUCCUUUAUCUUGAUUUGGUGCUGGCAUCUGCCUCUGCUGAUUCCUUGGGCAAUUUUUGGCAUAAUGGCCCACAUUGCCACAAGUGAAGCACUUGUUCCCAUUUCCCUGGCGGAACUGCUGCUGCUGCUGGGGUUGAUUGUUCCUUGGAGCAGGAGCUAGAAAGCGGUUGGGUGCUGGCUGCUGCAGAGGUGGCAUGAUCACCCAUCUGCCUGCAUGCUGCUGGAAGCCUCUGCUCUGAUUGUUGGAAACAAUCCUGAACCUCUGGGGUGGAGCGGAGGGUCCUGACAUUGGUGCCUUCCUCUUCUUCUCUGCUCGGUGAGCUACAAUACAGUCCUCCUGUGAGAUGGCCAGGUUGACCAACUCAUUGAAGCUAUCAGCCCGGACAGUCUUGAGACGCUCACGCAGCUUGGUGUUGAGACCCCUGCAGAAGCGGUCUCUCUUCUUUUCAUCAGAGUCAGCAUGAUACCCCCGUACUGGCACAGGUCGUUGAAGGCCUGGGCAUACUGCAACACAGUACGGGUCCCUUGAUUGAGUGCCAGGAAUUCAUUCAACUUGCGAUCAAGAAUCCCAGCAAGAAUGUGGUGUCCCCUGAAAGCUGUCUUGAAUUCCUCCCAAGAAACUUCAUGACCAGCAGGUAGCAUGGCACGAAAAUGGUCCCACCAUGUCCGAGCGGGUCCACGAAGCUGCUGCGCGGCGAAGCGAGCCUUGAUGUCAUCGGGGCAGUCUCCCGUGAGAAGGGGAAACUUGGACUCCACGAUGCGUAGCCAUACGUCGGCGUCCAAUGGAUCCUCUGCCUUGGUGAACAAAGGAGGUUGCGUGCUCAGGAACUCCUGGUAGGUCGCCGCGGCCGGAGGUCGCUGUGGCUGGCCUCCACCAUGCUGCUGAGGGUGGGGCUGGCGCUGCAAGAGCUUUCGCAGAAUUUUGUUCUACUGAGCCAUCAGCUCCUGUACCGUGGGAGUUGGAGGAGGUGGCGGGGGAACUUGCUCGUUCUGCCCGCGAUGCUGCCUAGCUGCCAUCUGAAAAUAGAGAUUGCCGCCAUUGUUAUCCCAACUCAUAAUUCCGAGCAAUAAGCUAUAUAUCAUACAGAAAGAAAAUGUCAUAACAUAACAUCAAUUCGAAUGAGGAUAACAUGGUUACAAUCACUUCAUUGAUCGCAAAAGUUCUCAUGGAUUACAUCAAUUUAGGGGAAAGUACCCGUAAGCCUAGUCCAAAAUCUGAUGCCAACUAAGCUCGCGUGGGUUUCUAUCCUCCUAAAGCGUCAAAAUGACCCAUCAACCCUGAGUAGUGGAAGCGACACUGGAUACGGGCGAAGGGGGCAUCUUGGAGGCAGUCGCAUUGGUACCAGGGGCUGGUCCUAACUCCUCGGGAGCCUCCUCUCCCUCGCUUCCAGCCUCAUUGGCCUCCAUCUCCAGGUGGUGCAUGUCUAGGUGGUCGUUAGCUUCCUCAAGCUCCUACUGCACAUCGUGGAGCUAGUUUUCCAGGACAUCAAUGGUGUUGUCCCAGAUCUCCACCUACUGCUCUAGGGUGGUGAUGCGCUGGCUCAAUCGUUCCACCUGUAGGUCCUUUUCCACUAACUAUAAGGACAAGUCGACCACGAAGUCCUCUCGGCUGUCGAGGGUGAGCUUAGUGGUCUGAGCGAGGUUAGCAAGAUGUGCCAUAGCGUCGCUCUUCAGGGCCUGUAGGUGGUACAGUGAGCUCAUGUACUGAACUGUGAUCCUCCCAACUAAUUUUGGAUACAUAGCCCACACGUCCUUCACAUGGCUCACACGGUUGCACCACAUGGGGUCAUCCUCUUCUCAGCGGGGAACAGUCCCAGUGGGUGCAUCACCAUCUCCAGGGGAUGGUAGCCACAGAAAGUCGUCAGUCUUCAUAGCUGCCGCCUCGGUGGUGUCGUCCGUCCUGAAUCCAAUAGUCUCAGAGUCAAGGGAAUGCCAACCCGGCUAAAGGGGGUGUGCCUCCAGAGUCAGCCAGACUCGGCAACGUGGCACCCGAUGCUCCUCGUACAGCUGCACCGUGUACAAAGGGGGCGUAGGGUAACAGGCAGAGUUGAGAACCUCCCACAAGAUGGAAGGAAAACCCUCGUGAGAAAGGAAAUCGGAACUGAAACGAGUGUCUCCUCCACUAGUGGGGGUGGGUGAAGUCAUCUGUGGAAGAGGAUCAGAUGUAAAGGUUAUGGUAGAAGAAUGAAAAAUAUGUGAGCCCGGGUUGUUAAAAGGAAGUGGGUUAGAUCAAAAUUUUACUCCUUUAAAUCCUAAUCCUUUUGUGUUUUAAAAUGCAUGCAUGCUGAAAAGAGCGUCUCCUCACUGAAUCAGAAGGGUGCUUUUUAGGGCAUCCUUUAAUUCCUAAGACUGGCCCAUAGGGCCUACUUAUUUAGCCACCUGUUUUCCCCACUAUUCCUAAGGCCUUUUGUCCUAGUUCUAGGGUUCUAGCCCUGACGAUUCCAAUAUUGGUUUCUAAGCAAGUUUUAUUUUUGAAAAAGUUGGUAUUCACGAUUUAUUGCUUUCUCUGUGGUGGUAUUUGCUUCGAUACCCGCUGUGGCAGAACCGCCCAAAUUAUUCCAGCUUAAGUGCCCAAGUCACGCCUUAGAGGCCGCAACACACUUAAAUCGGAAUAACCCGCGAGUCCCUCAGAUCUAGUCUGAUAAAGCCACUUAUCCAGGAUCAAAUACCACAAGCUCACUCGAAGGUGAGUCACAGAGAAAAUACAAGAAAAUAGGAAACCUCGAAUUAAAGUACUAGAGUUAUUACAUGAAUCAGAGUUUUUCAAGUAAACUGAAAUAAGUUCAUAGUUUAAAUUGCAGCGGAUAGUCGAUAACGUCGAAGGAUGAGGAAUAGGGCAAGGCCUAGCCCACUACUCCUCCUGCUCCUCUCCUGCUGGAGCGGCAUCCCACUUGACUAUCCAACCCGGUGGCAGGGUGGUAGGCCAUGUCACACCACGAACCAUGUCCUGAAGCGUACCUGCAAAAAUUGUGCCACAAGCAAGGCUGAGUUUACUAAUACUCAGCUAGACUUACCUAGUGUGAGGAAUCUACUCCUCUACCUAUAGACCAUGCGGCUGUUUGGCUGAGGGGUUUGGUUUGCCAAAAGCACUAGCUGAGUCUAAAAUCAAUUUUAGCUUUUCCAGUUCUAGUAUCAUAAAUUUAAGCUAAGUUUUCUCCUUCUAAGCAUACAUGGUAACAAUCAUUUAGUACAAUCAACAUGUUAUCUCAAGUAAAACCUCAUUUCACUUCUUACUCAAUAUAGUACAAGGGGUCAAGCAGUCUCAUUCGCUACGAGAAGCAGACGAUUCGAAUCGAUUUUUUAAAACUUGCAAGGUAAACCUAAACACAAGACAUGUAGGGGCACUCCGUCCCCACACAUAUCAACCGUCCCCAUCGAUUCCCCGUUCGCGGCCAGGGCUCACCGCCUUGGCAUACAAUGAUCCACUGACCCCGGUUGCCGCCGUGCAAUAACCGCACUUGUACCCACCAUAGCUAGCGUGGGAGACCCAAUCUCAGGACAAGUGAGGAGGAAAGUCCGUGCCUGGCUUCACUCAGGUAUCCACACAUUAAUACUUAGUUCCUUUUCCCGUCUCAUGGACAAGGCAUCCACCCUGGAUCCAAGUCCAUAGACCAUCAUAUAUCCCGUUAUCAAGAUGAAUACAAUCAAUUCCUAACCUCUAGCGAGCGCUAGAAAAAUCACUCGACUUCUACCGAGAUCCUAAUUAGCAAAGUAGUUACUCAACCUAGCAUACUAGUAUCCAUCUCAAAAAAGGAAUCCUUAGUUUAUGCAGCUAAGGGUUUCAAGCAACUCCUACACUUAAGUGCACAUUACAAGCCUACAAACAUUAAGUGUAGUAAAGUAGCAUAUAUAAACUGGUUAUGCAUAAAACCGGGGCUUGCCUUCAAAUGCUGGGGCUGCGGGGAGAUCUUCUGUGGCAGGCUCGGGAGCUGCUCCUGGUCUUCCUCGUGGACAACUCCUUGCUCGGGAAUGAGCACGUACUCUCCGUCAGCGAGGUUGCAAUCUAAUGAAUGCAAAGAGUAAGAUAUAUGUAUGGCAUGAUAUGCAAUUUAGCAAUUACAAUUGGAUGGUUAAUGAUUAAAUUAAUAAGGUAAAGCUUAACCUUACUACUCGAAAUUUUGGUGGUACACUUAGCCAUUUAGGUCAAGUUUGGUUAGGUUAAAUGGUCAGAUUAUUUUAGUGUUCCACUGAUUUCCUUUUUAUGUUUUAGUGAAAGUUUAUUAUAAUUCCUAGCUGAAUUCAUUGGGUGAGAUUCAUUAUUCUUCUCAAUUUAUCUCUUCUUCUCCUUUUCUUUUAUGCUUUUAAGGUGGGCUUGAACUACAACCUAGUUCUAUAAAUUUCCAAAAAUUCUGCGAAAAUUACAAUGGCUUCUCAUUGGUGUAUAACUCUCUGUCUCAAAAAUUGGGGCUUCAAGAGUUAAGGUUUCUCUCUGUACAAAAUUAUUAAAUCUUAGGGCGGAGGGGGUGCUUUGAACUACAACUCUCCUCUAACAGUGGAUUAUUCCCUAAGGCUUAAUUUUUCUGGUAUUUAGGUGCUAUAAUAUGACUUUGCACCAAAUUUUAGCCACUAAAACUUAUUGGUUAUUUUACUGCGAUUUUCUAAAGUUUUUGGCCAAAGGGGGUGGUUUCUACUACCACUAUACUUGAAAAAGGUCACACAAGAGAUUUCUAAUUUUUCCUAUCUUCUUAUUUGUGCAAGAGCAAUCAUUCUAUAAAUUGGCAAGUUUUUGCUUAAGGGAAGAGGGGGUAGCAAUGCUUGGAUUAUAUGGCCACUUUCAUGGGGUAGGGGGUAAUGGGUGUUACUUUACAUUUUUAGAUAGGAAGAUAGGAAUGGGUGUUACUUCAUAUUUUUCUCUGGUGGUCUACUUCAUCAAUAGUUGGGUAAAAUUUUAUUUGCCUAAUGUUUGCACAAUUUUUUGGCUUCCUUGUGAUUUAAUUAGAACAUGGGCCAAAAUUAAGUUUGAAUUGUUCAACCCACUUAUUAUGAUGGGUUGGGGUAUCAACUAUUUUUGUAGUGGUGUUCUAGUAGUUAGGAGUCUACUAAAUUUUUCUUACUAUUUUUGAAUUGGCCCUUAUAUUUUUAAUCAUGGUUUUCCUUGUUUCCUUAUUGCCUAAUAAUUUAUUUAACCCUGGAUUAGCUUUGGACCAGGGUUUUCUGUAUUUUCCUUAGGUUGCUCAUCACCUAAGUAUACUAGGAAAAAUAUGCUCCUCCUCUGUUUAUUAUUUUCUACUACCCUUCUUAAUUUCCUAAGUUUUGGACAGAAGUAGUUUUUAAUAGCAAAACUUGAGUAAAUCUUGUAUACUGGGGUGCUUAGUAUUUUUAAACAGUACCUAAAUUAGGUAUGUAUCUCUACAAAUUUUCUUAAGCCUAGUACAGAAGCAUUUCUAUUUUUCUUCAUAUUAAUAAGGUUUGGGCAGUUUCCUUAUUUAAUUCAAAACCCUAAAAAGUAAUACAGAAAAUGUUGGGGGUAUGCUUCGUAGCCGAAGAUCCUAAAAAGAACACCUUCGAAAGGUCUUCUCAGAAGCAAGCGCUGAAGCUAUUAUCUAUAAAGCUUUGGCACAAAGACAGAUCUCAAGAUGAAGGGUCGAACCGACUUAAAGAUGAAUUGACUUAAAGACCCAUGAUGUUUUGUGUCAUUAUUGUAG